UAUCCAGAAAGGUGGAGGGAAAGGCCCGAUGAAACCUUAGCAACCCUUGGUCAUCCAAGAAGGUGCUAAUUCCUCUUCGCACAUUGCGGAGGUAGA
rnacentral:ncRNA from 1 species